ensembl:scaRNA SCARNA6 small Cajal body-specific RNA 6
GAUCCAUGUUGAGAAAUAGGACAGGGGCUGACCCUCCAAAUCCUUUCCCUGCCGCCCCCAGCUGGCUCUCCCCUCGGGCUCCAGUAGUGCGGUCAUGGGUGCAGGGCGGCGACCCUCAGUUACUACCCCGGGCUGCGUUCCUUGGCCACCCUGGGGAGACACCGUGGCUGGCACCCCACAGCUGGUCACAAAAAGAUGGGAUUGUUGGGAAAGCUGGACUCUGUGGCUGCGGUCUGAUGUUUCAAGCUGAGACC